rnacentral:lncRNA from 1 species
GGGGGGGCCUACAUUUUCCUGGAUUAUCUUGUGAUCUUGGGGCAAAAAGUGACCUUCCUCCAUUUCUCCACAUUUUGUUUGGAUGCCAAUCUGCAACCAGCACCUGUGUUUGCCACCACAAGGCCUGAUGCUGCCUUUCACCAUCAUCUGGGGAGGCCUGUGAAGCAGUUACCACCUCUCAGCUGGGUUUCAGUAAUGACCUGUAAGAGGGUAUAAAUGAAGUCAUGUGGAUCACCUUGCCUCUUUCAGUGAGCAUAGUGCAGGCAGUUACUGAGCACCUGCUUUGUGGGAGAAAGUUAUGCUUGCUCUUAGUCUGUGGUUUCCGUGUGUUAUCAAAAGCAAUCAGCAUUCUAUGGAGCCCUCAAACUUUACUGUGAGGAUCAUCACUAAGAAGCAUUUAGUGCAGAAGGGUGGAAAGAAGAAAGACAAAACAGGCAGAUGAAAUCUCCAUGCAACAGCCAGGCUGUGUUGGACACAUUCCUGAGCCUUUCCAGAUUUUGACACCAGUAAGUCUUUGUAGCUCUUUGUAGCAUGUGAGGACCAUAAGGCAGUAGUCAUGCAGCUGUAAAAACUAGGAUGAUCUCUUUAUGCUGAUUAAUUUGA